AGAUUGAACGCUGGCGGCAUGCCUUACACAUGCAAGUCGAACGCGAAAGCGGAGCAAUCCGCAAGUAGAGUGGCGAACGGGUGAGUAAUACAUCGGAACAUUUCCAGUAGCGGGGGAUAACCUGUCGAAAGAUAGGCUAAUACCGCAUACGACCUACGGGUGAAAGCGGAGGACUCUUGGGCAACCGAGGGCUUCGCACUAUUGGAGUGGCCGAUGUCGGAUUAGCUAGUUGGCGGGUAAAGCCACCAAGGCUACGAUCCGUAGCUGGUCUGAGAGGACGAUCAGCCACACUGGAACUGAGACAACGGUCCAGACUCCUACGGGAGCAGCAGUGGGGAAUUUGGACAAUGGGGCGCAAGCCUGACUCAGCCAUGGCCCGCGUAGACGUGAAGAAGGUCCUUACGGUUGUAAACGUCGUUCGUUUCGGUGGGAACGUAAAGGUUCGU
rnacentral:rRNA from 1 species